rnacentral:lncRNA from 12 species
UGGAAUAUACCCAGCCUGCUGCCUGGGGCUGUCGUGGCUCCUGGGCCCUCACCCCUUGAAAGCAGGGAGAAGCAGGCCGUGCAUUAAGGAAAUUGUUUGUGAA